AUUUUUGCUGUCAGACACAUUGUCAUCAUUACAAAAAUCAGACAAAGCACACACAGAAGUAAUAGGAGAACCAGGAGAGGAAGAAGGGGAAGGAGGCACCCAAGACAGUUUGUAUGAGCCAGCUUCCUCUUUACCAAGAUCCAGAGGCCUCUUCAGAGAAGGGUACUGUAUCAUGUGAAGUAAACAGGAAGUUGGAGUGAACAAAACUAUACAGUGCAAAUGUUUUAUCAACUUGUGAACAGAAAUCAAGUUGUGUUUAAAGGAAGGAACCAGAAGCACAUUG
rnacentral:lncRNA from 1 species